rnacentral:rRNA from 1 species
GUGGGGAAUCUUAGACAAUGGGCGCAAGCCUGAUCUAGCCAUGCCGCGUGAGCGAUGAAGGCCUUAGGGUUGUAAAGCUCUUUCAGGGGGGAAGAUAAUGACUGUAGCCGGAGAAGAAGCCCUGGCUAACUUCGUGCCAGCAGCCGCGGUAAUACGAAGGGGGCUAGCGAUGCUCGGAUUUACUGGGCGUAAAGGGCGCGUAGGCGGACAUUUAAGUCAGGGGAGAAAUCCCGGGGCUCAACCUCGGAACUGCCUUUGAUACUGUGUGUCUUGAGUAUGAGGGAGGUGUGUGGAACUCCGAGUGUAGAGGUGAAAUUCGUAGAUAUUCGGAAGAACACCAGUGGCGGAGGCGACACACUGACUCAUUACUGACGCUGUGGCGCGAAAGCGUGGGGAGCAAACAGGAUUAGAAACCCCGGUAGUCC